rnacentral:rRNA from 1 species
UACAGAGGUCUCAAGCGUUUGUUCGGAUUCAUUGGGCGUAAAGGGUGCGUAGGCGGCGCGGUAAGUCGGGUGUGAAAUCUCGGAGCUUAACCCCGAAACUGCAUUCGAUACUGCCGUGCUUGAGGACUGGAGAGGAGACUGGAAUUUACGGUGUAGCGGUGAAAUGCGUAGAUAUCGUAAGGAAGACCAGUGGCGAAGGCGGGUCUCUGGACAGUUCCUGACGCUGAGGCACGAAGGCCAGGGGAGCAAACGGG